UAAAUAUCAAGAAAAUUAGAAGUGUGGUUUUUAUCUCUACAUAAAAUGUAAUUUUUUUGUUAUAAUUUUAAAGUUAAACAAAUUCAUUGUGAAAAAUUUGCGCUGAAAUAGUGCAAUGCAGAAAAAUUUUGAUAAAUUCCAAACGCAACAAAUUGGAGGACAUUAUUCAAUGAUUGUAUUGAUUUGGGCGCUGAGGAUAGAAGAUAACACAUGUGGAUCUUAAGUUCGUGGUAUUCCACGCAAAAUGCUCAAAUUGCCAUUUAUUACGACUCAUUUUAAAUAAAUAUGUACUGGGUUGCCCAAAAAGUAAUUGCGGAUUUUCUAAAAGAAACAAGCUAAAAGUAACGCCGACUAUAUGAAAAAUCCUCAAUUACUUUUUGGGCAACCCAAUAUAUAAAUUAUAUUGCUUAUAACACCCUUUACAGACGGUGUCGCCGACAACGAAAAGCGGCUCAAAAUGAAAUCGACAAUGUUACUUUUUUUAGAAGCCUUAGACCAUUAAAAGAAAUACAUUAAGCUAUAUU